UCGAGAGGCUUCGGCAAUGGGGGAAACCCUGACCGAGCGACGCCGCGUGGGGGAUGAAGGCCCUUGGGUUGUAAACCCCUUUUAUUCGGGAAGAAAUGCGAUCAGGUGAAUAAUCUGGUCGUUUGACGGUACCGAAUGAAUAAGCUCCGGCUAACUCCGUGCCAGCAGCCGCGGUAACACGGGGGGAGCAAGCGUUGUUCGGAAUCACUGGGCGUAAAGGGCGUGUAGGCGGUCGAGUAAGUGGAAUGUGAAAUACUCCGGCUCACCCGGAGCACUGCAUCCCAAACUGCUCGGCUUGAGUAUGGGAGAGGACGAGGGAAUUCCUGGUGUAGCGGUGAAAUGCGUAGAUAUCAGGAGGAACACCGGUGGCGAAAGCGCUCGUCUGGCCCAAUACUGACGCUGAUGCGCGAAAGCUAGGGGAGCAAACG
rnacentral:rRNA from 1 species